rnacentral:rRNA from 1 species
AUUGAACGCUGGCGGCAGGCCUAACACAUGCAAGUCGAAUGGUAACAGGAAACAGCUUGCUGUUUCGCUGACGAGUGGCGGACGGGUGAGUAAUGUCUGGGAAACUGCCUGAUGGAGGGGGAUAACUACUGGAAACGGUAGCUAAUACCGCAUAACGUCGCAAGACCAAAGAGGGGGACCUUCGGGCCUCUUGCCAUCAGAUGUGCCCAGAUGGGAUUAGCUAGUAGGUGGGGUAACGGCUCACCUAGGCGACGAUCCCUAGCUGGUCUGAGAGGAUGACCAGCCACACUGGAACUGAGACACGGUCCAGACUCCUACGGGAGGCAGCAGUGGGGAAUAUUGCACAAUGGGCGCAGGCCUGAUGCAGCCAUGCCGAGUGUAUGAAGAAGGCCUUCGGGUUGUAAAGUACUUUCAGCGGGGAGGAAGGGAGUAAAGUUAAUACCUUUGCUCAUUGACGUUACCCGCAGAAGAAGCACCGGCUAACUCCGUG